CACAUCAAAAGAAGAUGAUUUGCCUGUUAUGAUGGAAAGUCUACUAUAAGUUGAAAGAUUUGUGCCUUGUUAUACAUAUAUUUUCUUUUUUAAAAAACAUAAUCUGAUUUCUUUGCUAUAUUAUAUAGUUUGUCAAGUUUGUAACCUUUUUCUUCUUGAUAGAUCAAAAGUUUGCAGAGGACGAGAAAAGGAGCUUAGGGAAUUUGUAAAAUUCUGCUUCAACAGUUAGGGUCAUUAAUUCUCACAAAGAUAAAUGUUUAUUUAAAGAGUUGAUUCAUUUCCUAAUAGGCUUACAAAUAAACAUGCCAAGAGCCUGAACACGUAAAAGAGGUAUGGAAAAUUAGCAUUAAAAAGGAUUCGUACUUGUUAUUUCAUGUAGUCUCAACCACAGGUCAGAACCAUCUUAUAAAUAGAGAGACUACGGUACACAGUAACUAUUAGAGUUCAUACAGGCAAUGCAUGAGAGAUCAAGGAUCAGAAGUUUGAGUCUUUGUACUGAGAAAAAGUUGAGCUUAGAUACAAGAAGCAGAUGAGGGCUCAGUGAUCUCUAGAGCCUGUUCCAUACUGAAUUACUCUGGCAUCCAGAAAGAUGUCUUGACCCUCUGUGCCUCAGAUUCCUGGCAAAGUCCAUAACUCUAAGCAAAGUGAAAGUCUAAUACUUUUUUUUGGAGAGAUAGCAUUUAUUCUUUCCACUCAGGUAACUCAACGGUAGAGUAUUGUAAGUCUGCCCCUCUACCCUCUGUGCCCCGUGUCAGUACUGGUGUGGGGAAGAGCUCACAGGGUACUGGAAGCAGGUCAGGGUAAAUAAAGACUAAAGGGGAGCAAGAUGUUGAGAUAGAAAUGGGUGUUGUCCUCUAAUUGUGGCCCAGUUGAAGAUCAUGAAAUGUGCCAAUCUCCAUCACUCAGUGAGGCUUAAUAAUCUUCAAGCACCACCCAGACAAAGUUUUAAAACUGUUUACCACUCCACAAAGUUCUCUUGUGACCCUUACCAAUCAAGACUCACUCCUAACCAAGCAGGAAACUGCAGUCCGGGGAAGCUAGAUACUGCAGAAGGCAGGUGGCAAAUGAUUUUCCAUUGACUGUGGAGUCUGGAUCUCAAGAUCAUUUAGCAAAAGAAUGGGCUGUUUCUUCUCCCAGGAAACUUAUAAAUUCCUGAAAAACAAAACUGAGUUCUUUUACCAUACUUAACCAUACAGUGUACUUAUUUCCUUCUUUAUCCAUACUUAUGUAAGAAGAUAUCUUAGAUCUUCUAUAUCCAUUCAUUCAUUCAUUCAUUCACUUAUAGAUUCAUUACUUCAACAAAAACUUGCUAUUGUCUAACUAUGUUCCUAGGACUGUCCAGGUGCUGGUUUUAAAUAAGACCCAGAAAGCUGUAGCCUUUGGGGCAUAUAGUCUUGUUGGGAGACAACCUCCCACUGUUUGUAGGAUGCAUGAUUAACAGAGCUCUGUUCCCUGGACUGAGAAGCUGAGCUCAAAGCCACAGUUCACUACUCAGCCCAUUAUUUAUUUACAGCCUACUACAUGCCAAGGCACAGUUCAAUACAGCAAGGAUAUAAAAAGAAACUUCAAGAGGUUUCCCUUUCAGGAAUUAUUGAUCUCUGGCAAAGUGUCCCUCCUUUUUUGAAAAUUCUGUCUGCUUUCUCCAGGACAUCUGGGCAUGGAGAACACUCACACAGCUUUUCCACCAAAUCCACAUUUCUAUACCUUCUCACGCUGCUUUGAAUGGGAGUCGUUGGACACUCCUUACAUGGGAAGAGAAGUGGCUCUGCCAGGCAAAGCUGCAAGACAGCUGCCCUGCAGGGUUUCGGCACUGCAUGGUGCUUUAGUCAGUUUGCUGUUAGCAAAGGUUGAAGAAAAUAAGCUUCAUGCUUUGGUCAUUUUGCCAGUCCUUUUGAAAACAAACUAACCAGAGUCCCAAAUUCAUAAAAUUAACAUCUACCCUUCCUGACACACACAAUGAGACAUCCUCUCUCUCUCUCUCUCACUCUCUCUCUCAAGGUUAAGGGCUAUUGCUGAUAGAGAACAAAAAUUUCAGAUGUGGAUAAGCACUCAGUAUCAUGAGACAGGACAGAGCCGAACAAUCGACUCCUCUUUGGCCAAAACUUUCCCAUUAGUGUAUCAGAACACCACAGACUCUGAUUACAGAAUGAGCAAACAGGACAUAAUGGGUUUUCAAUAAAUGCAGCUGAGCCAGGCUCCAGAUCUGCUUGGAGAGGUUUAUUUGACACGUACAGCCUGCUGGGGGAAUUGAAGACAGACCAGUAAAGGGAGCUGAAGUUCACAAAUGAGAAUUGGUGUCUGGGAGUGGGGUGGGAUUGACACAUAUGCAAACUGCAGACAUGAGACUUGUGACCAGAACACUCCAACGCUGAACACCUUCACCUGAAUUCUUCAGGUUUGCCAGAACAGUCACGUGCUUAAAUGGAGACGUGAGCUUAGGGAGCAUCUUAAAUUUCUGUUUUGUUUUAGUGGCGAGAGAGAAAUAAACUGGAAGCUGAAUGUAGUCAAGGGUCUGAACUCACAUAGUUGGUUGAGCUUGAACUGGACCCUCGGCUCCCCAUCCCCUGACCUGUGUGCUUCUAACCCACAUGGAAUACCACAACACAGAAGGUGUUUGACAUCAAGAUUUAAAACAAUGUGUUUUGUUUUAGCAGAUCAAAAUUAAGCCGUGUGUACACUGGAGCAUCUUUUGAUUCAGAUGCCUUUAACACAGAAUGCUGGAGAGGUGGCUCAGUGGUUAAGGGCGCUUGCUAGUCUUGCAGAGGACUAGGGCUUACUUAUUAGCACCCAUUCACAGCAUCUAACUCCAGCUCCAGGGAAUCCGAAGAGCCUCUGGCCUCUUUGGGUACCCACACUCAUGUAAUGUAUACUCACAUAGACAUACAUAUACACAUUAGUAAAAAUAAAUAAAUGAAUCUUAGGGGAAAACAUAAAAUGCUGAACAACUGUUUAAAAGAAAGCACUGUUCUCAGAGGACACUACGUACUUAGGUAUCUUAUGUAAAACUUAUGCAGCUAAGAUGCUGGUUAUACGGAAGACCCUCAGAUAUCCACUCUGGAGGAAGUUGCAGAAGAGGCCAUCUCUUGGCCUGAUGUUAACACCUGGACUAAAAAAAUUAAUAAAAUGAUCAACAAAAAAGCUGACUCAUUAGAAAGAUGACACACACAUUUUUUCUUUGGACUGAUUCCCUUGAUGCCAUGCCUGAGUCCAGAGUCCUUGUGUGCAGCAGAUCUGUUAAGGAACUGCGCUUCAAAAGAGCGCGUGAGAAGGUGGUCAGUUUCCACGACACCAGUUCCACACGUCAGCAAUCUGUCCCCACGGCAGCACUGGCUGCAAGUCUUGAGUCUCUGGGGUGCUAGGCUAGCUUCUCCAGAGUUCUCUCUCUGUGGCUUGUGGACAUGUGCUCUGUGUCUCUUGGACACAUGUGCUCUGUGUCUCUUGGGUUUUCCUUAUAAAACUAACAGUCAGGUGGAAUGAGGCUAACAACUUGCAACUGCAGCCACGCUUGGAGUUCUGGGAAACAGGGCCUCAGCACUGGGAUGUGAGGGAAAGCACUCAGUCUGUUAGAGAGUAAGAGAAGGGAAAUAGGAUGGAGAGAGGAAGAGGAAGGUAAGCUACGGUCUCAAGGAAAGGCUGGUCUCAGCCUUCGGAGUGUGAGCGAAGGGGCCUCUCUGCCAUUAUCGAAUCACCUAGCGGUAAGGAGGCUGUUUUUCUAGCUGUUAGUUCAAAGGCUGCCACCAAUGGGAGGGGGGAGGGGGCUUCUGGGAGCAUCUGUAGGAUAAGUUCAGACAGGGUGGCUCCUGGGAGUCAAGAGCCUUUACCAGAGACUGACACGGGUGUGAGUCACUUUACUGCCCCAACAUUUGAACAUUUGCACAAGGAGGGUGUGAGUGAGACACCGAUGCCAUCCACAGUAUACACUCCUUGGCACCUAGGUAUACAACAAAUGUCACCACCCUUACAUCUGCGUGAGUUAAAGCCGCACUUUAAGUAUUACCAGAGGACAUAUGGUCACAGGGAAAGGGGUCAUGACAUUUGCCAAGGGGAGGAGCAGGCCAGACCCCUCUCAUUCCUAACCCACUGACCCAGGUCUGAAUUCCUAACUUCAUUCAUCACUAAAUCUAAGAACCCUGGCUCCUUGUCAGCUUUGAAGUCCAUCUUCUCUCCGUUCUCACCCCACAGACUUGAUCUAGGGAAUCCGGCCUUUUUCUCUCUCCUGUGACUAAAGCAUGACAUAGACCUGAUCUCACUGGUCUAUGUCUAGUGAUCUAGUCCAAGCUCAAGUGAAUCUAUAUUCAUUCUGCUUUGAUGAAAGCAAAGAUAGCAUCUGUCUUCUUGGUGGUGAUUCCUCUGAUGCCAACCUCUCACAUCUCCUUUACUAAAUUGUGUGUGUGUGUGUGUGAGAGAGAGAGAGAGAGAGAGAGAGAGAGAGAAUGAGAGAGAGAGAGAGACUCCACUAAGAAUGUGUCUUACAGGCAGGACUCAUGACAGAUUCUGACUUAUUAGAACAACAUCUGGUGCAUAGAGUGCUGACAUCAGGGCUACAUCACAUCAGGGCUCCAAGUGGCCACAGAAGGGCAGUUAGUCUCUCUAGCAGUAAGUAGAGUGCUGAGCACUUAGGGUGAGAAAAGUGGAAAAUGCUAGAAGUAUCCUGACAGUCGACCAAAUUAAUAUCUUCUUUCCCCUGAUAGUUUGCAAAUGCUGAGAUCAGGAGUUCCCAUGAUCCCUGUUUCAGCCUUAAUAAGCACUGACUUCCAAGGUAAAUAUUUAAAGUUACAUUAUAGUUGACCCUAAUAGAAUGUAUUAACAUUAGAAAAGAAAGGGGAAAAAAUCAACAAAAUCUUCUCACUUGAAUAAGUGAUAAAGCUACAGCAAAGCGCUGUGGUUAUACCUGGUAUUUGACUGUGUGGAGUGAUAAAAUACUAUCAUGGGAAUGUUUGGUCACUUUCACCCUGCUUUUUGGCUAGAUAAAGCACAACCCACAGGAAAUGAGCUAUAUAUAUAUAUAUAUAUAUAUAUAUAUAUAUAUAUAUAUAACUGCUUCUUUCUCUUGACCUCAACAGUCUCCUCUCUUACUGUUCCUGUUCCAGCUGUCCAUCACUGUCCUUUCCCAAAACGAUCCCAUCAAACACCAGUCUUUAUGCAUUCACCCACUGUUAGCUUCUCUGCACCAAAUCUUCCCUAGAGCCCCUCUCUGCCUUCUGGAUCCUCCACUUUCCUCAUUUCCCCUCCCUGUCUUCUGCCCCAAGCAGCUGCACAGAACCAACAAGAUCACUUGGUUAAAAUGCCUGGAAGAAUCGGUGAGUGGUUACCAUGGUCUGCACAUAGCCAGUGUGGACCCAGAGCACACAGAUAGAGAGUUGGGGAGCUGGACACCAGUCCAUUUCCUUUCUGCCUACACACACACACACACACCACACACGUGUGCACAAAUCAUCUGAAGCGACUUUAAACGCCAGUAGUCUGUGUACUGCACACCUGCCCCAAUGCUGUUUUAGACAUCUUAUGCAUCUCCCUGCCUUCAAACCUCGCAUUGCUUUCUCUCCUACCUAUGUCUUAAUCCUUCUUCUCUUCCCUACCUUUAUUUCUUCACCUCACUCCUUUCUUUUCAAUGAUUUCUUAAUUUUUUUUCAAAUUAUAUGUAUUUGACGGGGUGUGCAUGAGUACAGGUAUAUGGGUAGGUCAGAAAGAACAUCAGAUCCCCCUAAAAAUGGAGGUAUAACUGUUGUGAGCUAUCAGAUGUGGGUACUGGGGACCAAACUCAGGAUCUUUGCAAAAAGUGCUGAGCCACCUAUGCAGCCCACUUCUUUCUUUUUCUUUUCUUCUUCUUCUUUUUGUUUUUUCUUUUUUCCCUAGCUUGCUGUUCAGCUCAAAUCCUUAUCUCAUGUCCUGUUUUCUUACUAAGUUUUGGAAGCUGUAUAAACAUAUCUACAUAAAAAACAGACAUAACCAGACCUCACUCAAUAGAGCCAUUCAACCUGAAGACAUUGUUCUGGAGAGUUCUGUCAUCCCCCUUGCUCACAAACACGGAAGCAUGAGUUGUCAAGUGAGACGCUGUUGCCACCUGCCUUUCUCUCCAAAUCUCCCUAGCGAAAGAGAAGAUAACCUUUGACAUUUGGGAAGUAUGAACAAGAGUUCCACACAGAGUGUGAAGGAAAAAAAAGAAAGCAGGAUAUUGGUCUUAUGUUUGGCUUUCCACCCUCAAAUAUAAAGAACAGCGACAGUUGAAGUGUGAUUUGUAGGAAGUGAUAUAAAGGUUCAUUCAAAAGGGAGAACAAAGACCAGGUGGCUAACGUUUCAUGACUUCUGUAACUUUAAAAAAUAACUACAAUUUUAAGAAUAACAUAUAAGCCAUUGAGAGGGUUGAACGGAAAAGCAGUCGCUGAUAAGUGCAUAAGGCCGUAUUAUGUAAGCCGGAAGAUCAGUUAGCCACAGUGGUCAAUAAAGCUGAAAUGAGAUGGAAUGAAGUUCAUUCAAAGACAAGUUUAAUUAGACAUUCCCCAAAGCUUUCCAAGUAUGGGGAAAGAAGAACCUCAGGAUAGGCUGGCAAAGGAGGUGACAAACUUGUUAGUCCUGAAGGUUGAAAACCAGAGCCCCAACAAAGAGGUGCUUAGGCAAGACAAAAUUCCACAGCAACAGACAAGCUAGCGAUAGUCUUGCCCAGAUGCCCAGCAAAGAGUUCCUGUUCUCUGUACCUUUCUUGAGUCUCUUGCCAGAGUGGACACAAGCAGGAAGGCUAACUGUCCACUCCAGGGCAAACGCAGCUGGUUCCCCAGGAGGAAGCUGGGAGCUGUCUGUCUCCAAGCUGGGAUCCCCAAGAACUCAAACCAUGUAUGCCAACAACACACCUAGCACUGAUAACAUCAUAUGAGGAAAAAAAAAGGAUCUUUGGCAUAUUGAAAUCAGAAAGGAUGAGGCAUGAUUAAAGAACCAGUCCAGAAUUGUAGAGACCCAUUGGUGGUUCAAAUUUCCUUUUCUCUUUCCUCUAAUUCCACCAGCUCUCUAGAGUAAACCCAUUAAUAAUUCAGAAAACUGUUAGCAUCAGAACAGACACUGAAGAUCUCAUUUCUCUUUCCAUUUCCUUUAGUUUUUAGUUGCUUGUUCAAUGAGCGGUUGAGGAUUCUGUUCACUUUAGUUGUACGUUCUCCAAGCUGGAGUUCCUGAAGCCACUUCUGGCUCAUGACCUCCCCAAGAUGCUGUGACCAGCUGAGGUACCACACCUCUAUCUCCUGUUUCAUCAACAACAGCCUUGCAGCAAAAGAGCCUGCAUUUGUUCUGCCUUCUUAGAAACAGGAAGGCUCCAAAGUACGAGGAGUAAAUCCCCCAAACUCUUUAACUUAAUCAGUGUGCUUCUCCCUUGUUAGCUUUGAGAGGCCAAAGAAUCUGCCCACGUGUGAAUUUGCAUUUGAAUUCUCACUAGGGAAGAAGGUUCAACAAACCAAUUAACUAAUUAAACCAAUUAACAAAAUUCGUAAUUAGCCUUAAAAACAGAAGUGUCAACAAGCACAACAAAGAAGUUACCCUCCCACGGGAACUGCCUAAUGGAUUUAGGCCUUCCUGGUUUUCUGUCUUAAAGGGAUACACACACGCGCACACACACAGAUUGAGAGAGAGAGAGAGAGAGAGAGAGAGAGAGAGAGAGAAAGAGAGAGAGAAAGAGAGAGAGAAAGAGAGAGAGAAUAAUAACAAAUAAAAAAUCUAGGCAUGGGCCUGUGAGACAUGCAGCCUCCCACAGAGAUGAGAGGGAGCCAAGCCAAAGGUACCUUUCAAGGCCCAUUAUUGGCAAGUAAAUAUACAGGUGCUUUGAAGGGCAAGGACCCAAACACUGACCAUUUCACAGACGAAUGUAUACAGGCUCGUUAUCACAUAAACGGGAAUAGAAAUUUCAAAGAAAGACUUCUACUUGGAGAUAGUCAACACCUGGUAAUCCAAACAAUGGAUUCCAGGGGAAAAAGCCACCAAUAAAAGUUAUGGGAUGUCAUCGUUUGAACUCACCUCUUCCUUGGCCCCAGCAGCUGAGGCCAGCUCAUCUGAGGGUCCCCUAUACUAACUGACAUGAAUUCUGAAACAGGCCAGAGCUAAACCCGAGAAGCUCAUAGCAACUUAUGAAAAGGGGUCUAAUUUUCGGAACCUGCGUGAAAAGGAAUUCUCACUGUCUUAAUCAAUAUAAAAUAACUGAAAUGGAAGGUUGGCUGCAUGUCUCUGGAUUCUUCUGGCUUCAGCCCUUUGCUGCCUGCGAAUGCACCAUCCCUUCUAACUCAUGGGAGCACAGCCAACUGAAGUCUUGCCCAUUUUUAGGAUUGCAAGCAAAAGCCAACUGGAUCUUUAAAAACUAAAAUUGUUGUCAUUUUGUGUCUUGGCAAAUGCUCUAUCAGUACAAUGAAAUUUUAUUACUUUACAAAUUCUGCAUUCUGUGGUAACUCUUCUUUGCCAAAACAACAAGUUAACGCCUUGCCAUUAUUACUGUGAACCAUUUUGGCAUUCAGGCCGCUUCAGGAGUGUUACUAGAAUGAAUUAUACAAGGCUGACAGAAGUUAAAGGUGCCCAGGGCCAAGGCUGAGGACUAAGUUCAAGCCUCACAGUCCACAUGAAAUGGAUUCCUGCAAAUUGUCCUUUGACCACAAUACACACACACACACACACACACACACACACACACACAAAGAAAUAUUUUAAACUUUUGAAUGAGCAAUGUAAAUGAUUUUGAAAAAAAAAUGUUACUGUUUCAGAAAAAAAAAAUUCAACAUGUCUGGGAACAUGGCUCAUCCGUAGAGUUCUUAUCUAGCAGGGGUGAAGCUUGUGGUUCAGUCCUGAGGACUGCAAAAUAAACAAACGAGUUGAUUAACCAAUCAGCCAACAAUGAGCUAGUUGUGAAACAGCAAAUAGAUAACACAGACAAGAACUGAAUAUUCAAAUGGCUUGAAGUAGAAACCCACUUCAGAAAAAAACAAAAUCUCCAAGGAGAGGCUCACACAAACCAUUCAAGAGAACUGGUGGCUAAACAUCAGGAAAUGUGAAGCAAGUAGUAUGUACAUGUAAAUAUAUGUUGGAAACCUCAUACUGGAUUUUCUUGUUCCUCUUCUAUAAUAGAGACUGCUUUUCACUUUGACCUUGGGCAAGAUCAAAGCUCACCCAUGCUAAGUCAGCAUUAGAUGUGAUUUCUAAUCCUUUAGUAAAAAGAUACGCUGUGAACAGUAACACUCAGCCAAGCUCACAGGUUCUCUGAAUAGGCAGGGACUUGAAAUGCAAUGUGUGCCUAACUCAAAUGCUUGAAGAAUCAAAUUUCAUUUGCUCAAAACCCAUGAAGCUCACUGCCACUCAAGGGCAUAGCGAAGUGCUGGCAGUAUUUCAGCUAAACUCUAGGCCUCAGUUUCUUGAUCUGAAUGAUGAAGAGGUCCUAGAAUUAAAAAUCCCUAAGAUCUUUGUGAUGAUUUGCAUAGGCUCUUUUCUACCAAAAGGGAAUAGAGUCCCCUGCUUCCAUGCUUAGUAUUUUGCAUUAAUGAGAAUUUGGUAUGAAAAGCUUUUCUUGAAAAAAAAAAAAGAUAAUAUUCCCUUGAGACUAAUGGCCAGUCUUGCUGAAACUCUAGUCAGGGGACUUAGGAAAAGGAAGAAAUAAGGGGGAGGGGAACAGAGUCAGAAACAGAGACACAGAGAGACACAGACACACAGAGAGAGAAAGACCUCAUCCCAAGACUACUAAACCCAAGCAAGUGAAAUCUUGUGCACCUCCAGGACUCUAGAAUACACGAUGGAAGGUCAAGUCAAGAGUAAAGACUGCAGGAAGUGAGGCUCAAUUGUCUUUAAAUCGUGUAAUAGAAGGAGACAGACUUCUAGAUAUAUAAAUAAGGCAAAGAGGGCCGGUAUUUGGCUUCACUGAGAUUAUCUGCACCCUGUUCUAUUCUGCUGCAUUCUCCAAACCUGGCUGUCCGCACAAACCCAAUCUCAGGGAUGACUCGUGGCUGCACCAAUCCCAUUUAUUCUGACAUCAUCUCUGCAAAGUGAUGUCAUCAGAGUAAGUGUAAUAUGAUAAGUGUAAGAUGAUGUAAUAUCCCUAUGACAUGAGUUGUCAAAUGUUUGUGGUAUCUGAUACACCUUUAAUAUUAAAUAUAAGAUAUAAAUAUUAAAUAUCAAAGACAAUAAUGUUAAUAUUGAUGUACAGUACUAAUCUUAAAUUUUGUUUUAAUUUCUUAAUUGCACUGAGUAAAUUAUAGACAACUGCAAAGAGAUAAAAAGUGAACCUAAGAAAAAUGGCUUCCAAACGUAUAAAACCUACACAUUUCCGUCGGUGAGCUGCCUCAGCUAUGAAAGCCUAACAACCUGAGUUCCAUCUCCAAAAGCCAAGCACAGCAGGACAACCAUCUGUAACCCCAGUGUCCCCUGAGGGGAAGUGGAGAUCAGAGACAGAAGGGUCAGCCAGAAGCUCGGUGCCAGCUAACCUGGGGUACCAGUUGUAGCAACAGAAACAAGAGAGACUCAGCCUCAGAAAUGUCAAAGGCUCACUGUCUUCCAUGAGUUGAAUGCCAGACAGACUAUCCACAGAACAUGGAUGCGUCUUCUGCAGAACAGCAGGUGUUGAUUGUGCUGGGCUGUCUUGUCUCUCACAAAUAUUGUUGAUGCUAUGUGACCAACUACCACAUGCUCCUGCCAUCAUGCCUUCUCCUCCAUGAUGGGUUCUAUCCUUUCUUAAACUGUCAGCCAGAAUGAACCUACCCUCCCCUGUCAAUUCUCCUUGUCAGGUUACAGCCAUGAGAAAAGAAACUGAAAUAGAGCUCUUUCUUAAAAGCCCUGACAUAGCAAGUCAGUGGCUGUCAUGUCAUUCAAGUUUCUAUGAGAAGGAUAAGGAGAGAACAGAACGAGCAAGCCAACAGGGUCUCCUUGUCAACAGGAAGAUUACUGACAAAUAUCAAAGACAAGACCAGCAUCAAGAAUGAUCAGCAAUAUCUUCAACAAGAAAGAUAACAGGAGAAUGGGGAGAUCUGGAAGAAAUGAAGACAGAACUGGCUUUUCAUUCAUCUACACGCUAGAACAAUCCAGGCCUAAUACCAUCAGGUAUUUUGCCUUAACAACAGGCUACUUUGCCUAGCAACAAA